AACAAUAUGAAGGCAACUGAAGAAUGUCUGGGCAGUAUGGCAACAAGAGCUAAAGAGAACAUUUCCUGCCUAUUACUCAGGAAAAAAGGCUAGGUUUCUGGGCCUUCUAUUCCCAAAGGAAAUAAAUGACCUCUUCCUAAAAGGCACCAUACUCAGCCUGGAGCCCAACAGGGGGCUUGAAUUCACAAUCCUGAGAUCAACACCUGAGCUGAGAUCAAGAGUAGGAUGCUCAACCAACAGAGCCACCCACACACCCCU
rnacentral:lncRNA from 1 species